UGGGGAAUUUUGGACAAUGGGCGCAAGCCUGAUCCAGCAAUGCCGCGUGCAGGAUGAAGGCCUUCGGGUUGUAAACCGCUUUUGUACGGAGCGAAAAGGUCUGCCCUAAUACGGCGGGCUCAUGACGGUACCGUAAGAAUAAGCACCGGCUAACUACGUGCCAGCAGCCGCGGUAAUACGAAGGGGGCUAGCGUUUCUCGGAAUUACUGGGCGUAAAGGGAGCGUAGGCGGACAUUUAAGUCAGGGGUGAAAUCCCGGGGCACAAGCUCGGAAUUGCCUUGGAUACUGGGUGUCUUGAGUGUGAGAGAGGGGGAUGGAAUUCCGCGUGUAGCAGUGAAGUGCGGAGAUAUGCGGAGGAACACCGAUGGCGAAGGCAAUCCCCUGGACCUGUACUGACGCUCAUGCACGAAAGCGUGGGGAGCAAAC
rnacentral:rRNA from 1 species